AAUAAGAAAUAUAGGAAUAAUAUUUAAGUUGACAUAAUACUUAUUCACUAAUUUUAGGAGAGUUCUUAACUGGAUGGAAUAAUUAUGAAGUCGAAACUUCAGAAAGAAAACCGAAGGUUUUAUGUAAAAGCCCAAUAUGUAUCAUGAAAUGGAUUCAACACACUGUAGACUACAAAAAAAAAUCUGAUGUAUCGGAAGAAAAAUUUUACAGUGGUUGGUAAUCUAAAUAUAAUCCUUGAAUAAAGCUUUCAUACAUCCUUU